rnacentral:rRNA from 1 species
AUUGAACGCUGGCGGCAGGCCUAACACAUGCAAGUCGAGCGAGCGGCGGACGGGUGAGUAAUGUAUGGGGACUGCCCGAUAGAGGGGAUAAACACGGGAAACGGUUGCUAAUAACGCAUACUAACGGUUAACCCAUAUGGGAUUAGCUAGUAGGUGGGGUAAAGGCUCACCUAGGCGACGACCCCUAGCUGGUCUGAGAGGAUGAUCAGCCACACUGUGACUGAGACACGGCCCAGACUCCUACGGAGGCAGCAGUGGGGAAUAUUGCACAAUGGGCGCAAGUCUGAUGCAGCCAUGCCGCGUGUAUGAAGAAGGCCUUAGGGUUGUAAAGUACUUUCAGCGGGGAGGCGUUACCCGCAGAAGAAGCACCGGCUAACUCCGUGCCAGCAGCCGCGGUAAUAC